UGGUUCCCGUAACGAUGAAGAACGCAGCAAAAUGCGAUAAAUAAUGUGAAUUGCAGAUUUUCGUGAAUCAUCAAGUUUUUGAACGCACAUUGCGCCCCUCGGUAUUCCGGGGGGCAUGCCUGUCUGAGCGUCGUUGCGACCCUCGUGCCCAGCCCGGUGUUGGGGCCUCGUCCCGCGGGACGUCCCCGGAAAUGGUCGGCGGCCGCUGUCUAAUGCCUGGCGUAGCAGAGCUUUCCGCUGCGGUGUUGGCUGGUGGCCUGCCGCGGUCCCUGACCGCGCUCCUGACACGUUGACCUCAGAUCAGGUAGGGAUACCCGCUGA
rnacentral:misc_RNA from 1 species